CUUACCGGAGAGACAGCAGAAUGAAGGUCAAGCUGAAGACAUUACCAGACAAGCUGAGAGGUGGUGCAUGGCCGUCGCCAGCUCGUGCCGUGAGAUGUCCUGUUAAGUCAGGUAACGAGCGAGAUCCCUGCCUCUAGUUGCCACCAUUACUCUCAGGAGUAGUGGGGCGAAUUAGCGCGACCGGCGCAGUUAAUGCGGAGGAAGGAAGGGGCCACGGCAGGUCAGUAUGCCCCGAAACUCUGGGGCCACACGCGGGCUGCAAUGGUAACGACAAUUGGUUUCGAAUCCGAAAGGAUGAGGUAAUCCUCAAACGUUACCACAGUGAUGACUGAGGGCUGCAACUCGCCCUCACGAAUAUGGAAUCCCUAGUAACUGCGUGUCAUUAUCGCGCGGUGAAUACGUCCCUGCUCCUUGCACACACCGCCCGUCGUUUCAUUGAAGUGAGCUUUUAGCGAGGUGACGUCUAAUUGGCGUUAUCCAACUUGAGGUUCGUGACAAGGGAAAAGUCGUAACAAGGUGACCGUAGGGGAACCUGCGGUCGGAUCACCUCCUUAGACAUGGAAAGUGUUACGGUGUACAUAAUCUUCACAUUGAAUCAUCGAUGCAAUGCAUCACGAUAGUGAUGUAUGAAGGAUGUAGUGGCAUUACCGGUGGCUUGCAAUGAUCGUCGUGCAUAGUCGUGUA
rnacentral:rRNA from 1 species